rnacentral:rRNA from 1 species
AUUGAACGCUGGCGGCAGGCCUAACACAUGCAAGUCGAGCGGAAACGACAUCUUCGGAUGGGCGUCGAGCGGCGGACGGGUGAGUAAUGCCUAGGAAUCUGCCCUUUUGUGGAGGAUAACCCGGGGAAACUCGGGCUAAUACUGCAUAAUCUCUACGGAGCAAAGCGGGGCUCUUCUACCCUCGCGCAGAAGGAUGAGCCUAGGUCUGAUUAGCUUGUUGGUGGGGUAACGGCCUACCAAGGCGACGAUCAGUAGCUGGUCUGAGAGGAUGAUCAGCCACACCGGGACUGAGACACGGCCCGGACUCCUACGGGAGGCAGCAGUGGGGAAUAUUGGACAAUGGGCGGAAGCCUGAUCCAGCCAUGCCGCGUGUGUGAAGAAGGCCUUAGGGUUGUAAAGCACUUUAAGCAGGAAAGAAAAGCGCCGGGCUAAUACCCCGAGCGUAUUGACGGUACCUGCAGAAUAAGCACCGGCUAACUCCGUGC